rnacentral:rRNA from 1 species
UACGGAGGAUGCGAGCGUUAUCCGGAUUUAUUGGGUUUAAAGGGUGCGUAGGCGGACGCUUAAGUCAGCGGUAAAAUUGCGGGGCUCAACCUAGUCGAGCCGUUGAAACUGGGUGCCUUGAGUGGGCGAGAAGUACGCGGAAUGCGUGGUGUAGCGGUGAAAUGCAUAGAUAUCACGCAGAACUCCGAUUGCGAAGGCAGCGUACCGGCGCCCUACUGACGCUGAAGCACGAAGGCGUGGGUAUCGAACAGG